rnacentral:rRNA from 1 species
AUACGGAGGGUGCAAGCGUUAUUCGGAAUCACUGGGCGUAAAGGGUGCGUAGGCGGUUUGAUAAGUCUGAUAUGAAAUCCUAUGGCUCAACCAUAGAACUGCAUUGGAAACUGUCAGACUAGAAUACUGAAGGGGCAGAUGGAAUUAGUGGUGUAGGGGUAAAAUCCGUAGAUAUCACUAGGAAUACCGAAAGCGAAAGCGAUCUGCUGGGAAGUUAUUGACGCUGAGGCACGAAAGCGUGGGGAGCAAACGGGAUUAGAUACCCUAGUAGUCC